rnacentral:lncRNA from 1 species
UUUUUUUUUAAAGUUUUGUCCACUUGUCGAACGUAUGUGCAAAGAAAAGAAACCGGAACGAACAAAGGAAAUAGAUACGUACUUUUUUUUUGAGGGAAAAAUAGAUACGUACGUGUAAAGGAAACUUGAAACCUAAGGGAAGCAGCCGGCCGGCCGGCCCGUAUCUAUUUCUCAGUUGCCAAACGAAACAGAGCUGCCGGCCCAUAUGUCGAUUUUAUUUAUAGUUGCCAGCCAAUAUCGAGAGGACCCAUGGCAAAUUAAGGUUUCCUUGAGCGAAGAAAACAGCAGACGGCCAUUCAUGAAAACCUCAAAUGACUCGAAGGCCAGUAACUUCUCAAUCGGCCGAGACAACGGCAACGAGGGGAACUUUCAAAAGGUGCAGCCCCUCACUGGUCGCCGCCGCUGCACAUCGGCCACGGACGACGGCGAGGAGGUGAAACGGCCGAUGGGGAGGUGAGCCUGCCGUGCUUUGUGUUUCACGUUUAGUAAUCAUGCCACGGUCGAAUACCACCGAACAGGGCCGAUUGUGCAUGCACGUCAUCGUCGCCAUGGCCAUGCUAAGCAAAGAAAGAAGAGACAAGACAAGCAUCAUGCAUCAAUACAUGCUACGUCUAUCCUAAUCUGACAUGCAUAAUAUCUCUUUCUAGGUAUCUAAGGAAAUUACGAGCAUGCAUGCAUGGCUCAACCCGCAGGGUGCAAUCACUUGCUUUAUUUAUACUGACAUUACUUAGUCUUCAGUUUCUCGCAAAAGAAAAGUUAGUCUUGAGGCGGCUAAAAAAAUUAGGUGCUUUAAUACAAAUUAACACAGAUUUAUUUUGUGCAGACCACCUUCAUUGUGGGGAGUCAUGUGUGUUGUUUAACGUACUGCUUGGUAAUCGUGUGUUACAGAUAGGAAUGGUAUCAAAUAAUUACAUAUUAAGUGGUCAUGGUCAACUAAAUUGCUUAAAUGUGAUUGUUAUAUGAUAACUUUUUGUGUGUAAAGUUCAUUCCGGAAUCACUGAUUGAUGGACGAAAUUAUGAUGUCAAAUUUUUAUUCACAAUCUGGUCGGUGAAAUUGCUUAAACAUGGUUAUCAAAUCAGACAUCUAUGUUCUGAAGGUUUUAGCUGUAUCAUAUAUUUAGUUUAUUUAUCAACAUUGUUUCCCAUUGCAAUGCGCUGGCAUUUAACUAGAAACCUACAAAUAGAGAUUUUUAUAUAUAUACAAGUCAGAAGUUGCUAUACAUAUGCCUACGGAAGAUAAGAUUCCACAGCAGCAAUCAAACAAACUUUAAAUGUUCAUGCCAAUUAAUUUUUUAUACCUAUUACUAAAUUUCCCCUACUAUAGUUUGUUGUUCUUUCAUCGGAUAUUUUAGCAAUAUAUAGAUAUCACACCGGUCGCCUGGCAAAAGCCAGUGAAGACAGGCCAACAAAUGUUCUAACUUGAAAAUUCUCAAAAGUUCUUUCAUUUCUACACAUUCGCACAUCCCGAUUCUCACAGCCUAUUCUUUUUUCUCCCGUUGCAACGCACGGGCAUGUUUCCUAGUGAUGAACAAAUUGUGAUACACUAAUGCAGUACCACUUGGCUAAACGAUAGAGAAAUUCUCAACACCAUGGCACGCUGAGUGACUUGCUCUAAUUUUAAUCUAUCCAACCACCUCGGUUUAUUCCUUUAUGUCGAGCUUACUUACUUUAUUUGAAUAAUUCAUGAGGUCAAAUAUUUGAUGAAUUAUUUUCGGCACUGAACCAUGCACUAUUGUAUUGUUUUGGAUUUCACGGCUCAACCGAGCAGCGCGCGCCAAGGCGCGAUGCCUAUCUAGUUCAUGUGGUGGGUAGUCAACUAGUCAUCAUCUCAUGAAAGUAGUUCCAACAUGCCGACGUGUAGUCAAAAGCAUCAGGAUAAGUGGGUACGUUCGAAUUGUCCAGACAAACGCCCUAUUUUGGCUCCUCUCAGUUGCCAAUCCACAAGAUUUCAGAAAUCAACAUCAAACAAUGAGAAGCAAUCCCCCAAGCUAAGGCGUGCAAACAAGAUGUAGAUCAAGAAAGUAACACUAUACAAAAUGCACGAGAAGUAAUUGAAUCGAUUGGGCCAAAACUCGAAAGACAAACAGCAAGCUGCAGCAGCCCUGCAGCACCAAGGCUGUAGAGGCAAAGUGAACCUUUGGAGGCAAGCAAUGUAACUAUAUAGUUCAACAGAGCACAUCAUCAUUCUGAAGGAAAUAGCACAGUAUAGCAUUUCUGCAAAACUCAUGAUAGCAACCUACACCGAAUAUCUUCUUGACAUGAAUAAAGACCCAACCCAGACUACUGCUCAGAGAGCAAAUCCUACUCAUAAGAGCACCAUAGAUUUGAACUGGUUGUGCAGGCAGAUAACCCAAACACCCUAGUAACCACCCUUGAGAUCAUUGACCACAUCGUAGGGAAUGGGAGUGACGGUCUCAAUUGUGGUACCCUCGACCAUGAACCCAGGUUUAGGGCCGAGUGGCUGCCUCUUGGUGCUGAUGACCUCACCGCGCGCCUUGGCUUCCGCCUUGAGCUGGUCGUUCUUCACUUUCCUCAGGCGGAACUCCUCAGCACACCUGGAUGGCUGCACAUGCUCAACACGGACAUGGAUCCUUUUCCUGAUAAUGCGGUUUCCAACCUGGGCAAUGUAAACAGGAUUGUGAUUGUAAAUAUAUUAGUCCUGAACUUGACUCUACAUUAAAUUUUACGAUACAAAUCGGUAUGUUCCACUAGAACACAAUGAAUGAAAUGCAAGGCUGAACAAAAGCAUCAGGAUAAGUGAACAAAAAGAAAUGCUUGAUAGCACUAUUGAUUUCAAAGAUGCAAAUCGUUCUAGCCUAUUACCACAAGCAAAUCGAGAUAUUCAAUAUAGCCAUAUAACUUGAGGUGUACUUCAAAGAAUACAAAGGGCAAAACAUACAUAUCUUACCACUAACAACAAAGUUAGAACUUAGCUACUUCAGAGAAGAGAUAACAUGCUAGUAUGUAUACAGGGCCACAGCAGUAUAGAUUAAUAUAAUCUUUUUGGGCAGAAAUCCUUGUUUCCUCAAGCAAAGCAGAACUCUUCGAUAUGCCAUAAUUGUAAAUGCACUCAGCACUUUAUUAGUCUCUAAUAACACAACAAUCAAUAGACAAAACUAAUAGAAUUAUAAAGCAGGGG